CCUACGGGUGGCAGCAGUGGGGGAUAUUGCACAAUGGGGGGAACCCUGAUGCAGCGACGCCGCGUGGGUGAAGGAGUAUUUCGGUAUGUAAAGCCCUAUCGGCAGGGAAGAAGCAAGACGGUACCUGACUAAGAAGCCCCGGCUAACUACGUGCCAGCAGCCGCGGUAAUACGUAGGGGGCGAGCGUUAUCCGGAUUCACUGGGUGUAAAGGGAGCGUAGACGGCCAUGCAAGCCAGGGGUGAAAGCCCGGGGCCCAACCCCGGGACUGCCCUUGGAACUGCAUGGCUGGAGUGCGGGAGGGGCAGGCGGAAUGCGUGGUGUAGCGGUGAAAUGCGUAGAUAUCAGGAGGAACACCGGCGGCGAAGGCGGCCUGCUGGACCGCGACUGACGUGGAGGCUCGAAAGCGUGGGGAGCGAACAGGAUUAGAUACCCGGGUAGUC
rnacentral:rRNA from 1 species